AAAACACAGUUCGGCUCCCUCCCCCUCCCCCUCUCCCUCUCCCCUCUUUCCACGGUCUCCCUCUCCCUCUCUUUCCACGGUCUCCCUCUCAUGCCCAGCCGAAGCUGGACUGUGCUGCUGCCAUCUCGGCUCACUGCAACCUCCCUGCCUGAUUCUCCUGCCUCAGCCUGCCGAGUGCCUGCGAUUGCAGGCGCACGCCGCCACGCCUGACUGGUUUUCGUAUUUUUUUGGUGGAGACGGGGUUUCGCUGUGAUGGCCGGGCUGGUCUCCAGCUCCUAACCGCGAGUGAUCCGCCAGCCUCGGCCUCCCGAGGUGCCGGGAUUGCAGACGGAGUCUCGUUAACUCAGUGCUCAAUGGUGCCCAGGCGGGAGUGCAGUGGCGUGAUCUCGGCUCGCUACAACCUCCACUUCCCAGCCGCCUGCCUUGGCCCCCCAAAGUGCCGAGAUUGCAGCCUCUGCCCAGCCGCUACCCCAUCUGGGAAGUGAGGAGCGUCUCUGCCUGGCCGCCCAUGGUCUGGGAUGUGAGGAGCCCCUCUGCCUGGCUGCCCAGUCUGGAAAGUGAGGAGCGUCUCUGCCCGGCCGCCAUCACACCUAGGAAGUGAGGAGCACCUCUUCCCGGCCGCCAUCCCAUCUAGGAAGUGAGGAGCGUCUCUGCCCGGCCGCCCAUCGUCUGAGAUGUGGGGAGCGCCUCUGCCCCGCUGCCCCGUCUGGGAUGUGAGGAGAGCCUCGGCCGGGCCGCAACCCUGUCCGGGAGGUGAGGAGCGUCUCUGCCCGGCCGCCCUGUCUGAGAAGUGAGGAGACCCUCCGCCUGGCAACCGCCCCGUCUGAGAAGUGAGGAGCCCCUCCGCCCUGCUGCCACCCCGUCUGGGAAGAAGUCAGCUGCCAUGUCACGAGGACACUCAAGCAGAUCUAUGAAGAUGACUACAUGGCAAGAAAGUAAGGCCUCCUGCCCACAACAGCCACGUGGGUGAGCCAUCUUGGAAGUGGCUCCUCCAGUCCCAGUCAGGUCUUUGGAUGACUGCAGCCUCAGCCAACAUCUUGACUGCAACUGCAUGUGAGACCAUGAACUAGAACCAUACAGCUAAGCCACUCAGAAUUCCCAACCCCAGAAACUGUGAGGGUCUUGCCCUGUCACUAAUGCUG
rnacentral:lncRNA from 10 species